CACCGCGGUUAAACGAGAGGCCCUAGUUGACAAUGCAACGGCGUAAAGGGUGGUUAGGGGGAGCAAUACAAUAAAGCCAAAUGGCCCCUUGGCCGUCAUACGCUUCUAGGUGUCCGAAGCCCAAUAUACGAAAGUAGCUUUAAAAGAGCCCACCUGACGCCACGAAAGCUGAGAAACAAACUGGGAUUAGAUACCCCACUAUGCUCAGCUGUAAACCUAGACAUCCAACUACAAUUAGAUGUCCGCCCGGGUACUACGAGCAUUAGCUUGAAACCCAAAGGACCUGACGGUGCCUUAGACCCCCCUAGAGGAGCCUGUUCUAGAACCGAUAACCCCCGUUAAACCUCACCACUUCUAGUCACCCCAGCCUAUAUACCGCCGUCGUCAGCUUACCCUGUGAAGGCAAUAAAAGUAAGCAAAAUGGGCACAACCCAGAACGUCAGGUCGAGGUGUAGCGUACGAAGUGGGAAGAAAUGGGCUACAUUUUCUAUUAUAGAACACUACGGAUGUGCAACAUGAAAUAGUGCUUGAAGGAGGAUUUAGUAGUAAAAAGGAAGCAGCGUGUCCUUUUGAACCCGGCUCUGAGGCGCGUACACACCGCCCGUCACUCUCCCCUGUCAAAUGCAAUAAAGAUAAAUAACACCAAAGCGCUGACAAGGGGAGGCAAGUCGUAACAUGGUAAGUGUACCGGAAGGUGUACUUGGACUAAAUUCAGGGCGUGGCUGAG
rnacentral:rRNA from 1 species